rnacentral:rRNA from 1 species
ACGCUCGACACCUACGGAAGGCAGCAGUGGGGAAUAUUGCACAAUGGGGGAAACCCUGAUGCAGCGACGCCGCGUGGAGGAAGAAGGUCUUCGGAUUGUAAACUCCUGUUGUUGGGGAAAAAGNGGAUGGUACCCAACAAGGAAGUGACGGCUAACUGCGUGCCAGUAGCCGCGGUAAUCUGAGCGGGCUGGCAAGGC